CGAUUCUGGCUCAGGAUGAACGCUGGCGGCGUGCCUAAUACAUGCAAGUCGAACGAGGUAGCAAUACCGAGUGGCGAACGGGUGAGUAACACGUAGGUAACCUGCCCUUAAGCUUGGGAUACCCAGAGGAAACUUGGCUAAUACCGGAUAACAACAGAGAAGGCAUCUUCUUUGCUUGAAAGGCCCCUUCAAGGGUCACUUAAGGAUGGACCUGCGGCGCAUUAGCUAGUUGGUGAGAUAACAGCCCACCAAGGCGAGGAUGCGUAGCCGAACUGAGAGGUUGAUCGGCCACAUUGGAACUGAGACACGGUCCAAACUCCUACGGGAGGCAGCAGUAAGGAGUUUUCGGCAAUGGGGGAAACCCUGACCGAGCAACGCCGCGUGAGCGAUGACGGCCCUAUGGGUUGUAAAGCUCUGUUGUAAGCCAUGAAUGGUAGCUUGAGGAAAUGCAAGCUAUUUGACGACAGCUUACCAGAAAGCCACGGCUAACUACGUGCCAGCAGCGGC
rnacentral:rRNA from 1 species